rnacentral:sRNA from 1 species
GGUCGGGGCUGCGGGCGCUCGCUGGUGGCGGACCCGGAGGCGGCUGCGGCGCCGGGGCUCCGUGGCCUGGAUUGAAUCCGAUCGGGAGCCAUGAGCGUGGACAAAGCUGAGCUAUGCGGGUCUCUGCUCACCUGGUUACAGACGUUCCACGUUCCGUCUCCCUGUGCCAGCCCUCAGGACCUGAGCAGCGGCCUUGCCGUAGCCUAUGUGCUAAACCAGAUGUGAGUGGAGCUGAGGGGGAGGAUCCCAAAAGUGUCCCCCAGUCUGCUCAUCCCACCUUCUCGCCCCCAGAGACCCCUCCUGGUUCAACGAGGCAUGGCUCCAGGGCAUCUCGGAAGAUCCAGGUCCCAACUGGAAGCUGAAGGUCAGCAAUCUGAAGAUGGUCUUACGGAGCCUAGUAGAGUACUCCCAGGAUGUCCUGGCGCAUCCUGUGUCAGAAGAGCAUCUCCCAGAUGUGAGCCUCAUUGGAGAGUUCUCAGACCCGGCAGAGCUCGGCAAGCUGCUUCAGCUGGUGCUGGGCUGUGCCAUCAGUUGCGAGAAAAAGCAGGACCACAUCCAGAGAAUCAUGACGCUGGAAGAAUCGGUUCAGCAUGUGGUGAUGGAAGCCAUCCAGGAGCUCAUGACCAAAGACACUCCUGACUCCCUGUCACCAGAGACAUAUGGCAACUUUGACAGCCAGUCCCGCAGGUACUAUUUCCUAAGUGAGGAGGCUGAGGAGGGGGACGAAUUACAGCAGCGCUGUCUGGAUCUGGAGCGGCAGGUAGGGCCCGAGGUGGAGCAGGGUCACUUGAGUAGCACCUCUCCAAGCCCAGGCUCAUCUUUCUGCCCUGCCCGCAGCUGAUGCUCCUGUCAGAGGAGAAGCAGAGCCUGGCGCAAGAGAAUGCAGUGCUGCGGGAGCGGGUGGGCCGGCCUGAAGGCGAGGGUACCC